rnacentral:lncRNA from 1 species
UACUGCUGCCUUCCUCCACUUUUUCCCAUUUUCAAAGCCCAAAUCCCUAGCUUACCACCACCUCCACCGAUCCACCGAUCCAGUUGUCUGUCGGCCACCUCCAGCUAACCUCAAGCUCAGCUCAACUUCUUCAUUUUUGCUUCUUCUUUUGCAGUCUCAGUAGUCGAUCCAGUUGUCUCUAGCUUCUUCAUCUGCAAUCUCGGUGCUCCCCAAAGUUUGGUCUUUACUAAGGCUCCUCAUAUUGCUGGCUGCUACUGUUGAAGACUGUUGCUGUGCCUUACUUUAUCUUAGAAAGUCUUUUCUUCACGGUAAGCUUCUUCUUCUUCUUCUUCUUCUUCUUCUUCACUGCUGCAUCUUCUUCUUGCAGGUUUUUGACAGUGCAUCUUCUUCUUACUGUAAUUAUUUUGGUGCUCUCUUUCAUUAUAUCUCUUUUCUUAUAUUUUCUCAUCCGCACCACCCGAGUCCACUAUCUUUCACAUUUAUCUUAUAUUUUCUUAUAUUUUUCUUAUAUUUAUGAUACUUAUUAUUAUAAUAAUAAUGCAUGUGGACUAAUUGACUCCUGUAGGUGUAUGCUUCUGUUCUGCUUCUAUGUUUACUAUUUUUUAAGCUUUAUAUUUUAUUUCAAUAGUAUUUUAAUUUUAAAUUCUACAUUCAAAAUUCUUUUAAAUAAAAUUUCAGAACAUAAAAUUUUAAUUUAGAACCAAAUAAGUUAGUAAACUUUAAUUUAUAUUUAAAUAAAAAGCUUUAAAUUAAAUUGUCUUCGUUUGAAACAUUUAUUUUAAAUUCACAUUUAAAAUAAAAUAAAACAAUUAUUUGCAGGAUUGUCGAAACCAUUUUUUUAUUUAAUAAAAGGAGAUCGACUUUUAAAAUAAAGUGUGGAGUCGCCACCAAUCUUUUUGUUUAGGUGUGAUUGGAUCACCUAAUAAAAUAUUUUGUUCCAUUUAAAUCAAUUUUAGUCCACGUAAAUUUAAAAAAUGGGUUCGGGAGCCGGUUACGUAUGAGGAAGGGUUAGCACCCUCACUAUGCCC